UACGUAGGGUGCAAGCGUUAAUCGGAAUUACUGGGCGUAAAGCGUGCGCAGGCGGUUGGGUAAGACAGAUGUGAAAUUCCCGGGCUCAACCUGGCGAACUGCAUUUGUGACUGCUCGACUAGAGUACGGUAGAGGGGAGUGGAAUUCCGCGUGUAGCAGUGAAAUGCGUAGAUAUGCGGAGGAACACCGAUGGCGAAGGCAGCUCCCUGGGCCUGUACUGACGCUCAUGCACGAAAGCGUGGGGAGCAAACAGG
rnacentral:rRNA from 1 species